rnacentral:rRNA from 1 species
GUCUACAGCCAUACCACCCUGAACGUGCCUGAUCUUGUCUGAUCUCGGAAGCUAAGCAGGGUCGGGCCUGGUUAGUACUUGGAUGCGAGACCACAUGGAAAUACCGGGUGCUGCAGGCU